GAUGAACGCUGGCGGCGUGCCUAAUACAUGCAAGUCGAGCGCUCAGACGAGGAGCUUGCUCCUCUUACGUUAGCGGCGGACGGGUGAGUAACACGUGGAUAACCUACCUUUAAGACUGGGAUAACUUCGGGAAACCGGAGCUAAUACCGGAUAAUAUAUUGAACCGCAUGGCUCAAUUUUGAAAGACGCUUUUGCUGUCCUUUAUAGAUGGCUCCGCGCCUCUUUACCUAGAUGGUAAGGAAACGGCUUACUAAGGCAACGUAGAUAAGCCGACCUGAGAGGGUGAUCGGCCACACGGGAACUGAGACACGGUCCAGACUCCUACGGGAGGCAGCAGUAGGGAAUCUUCCGCAAGGGGCGAAAGCCUGACGGAGCAACGCCGCGGGAUGAAUGAAGUUCUUCGGAUCGUAAAACUCUGUUAUUAGGGAAGAACAAAUGUGUAAGUAACUAUGCACGUCUUGACGGUACCUAAUCAGAAAGCCACGGCUAACUACGUG
rnacentral:rRNA from 1 species